rnacentral:rRNA from 1 species
CAGUGCAUCAGUGGGGAACGAGUGAGUAACACGUGAGCAACCUGCCCCGGACUCUGGGAUAAGCGCUGGAAACGGCGUCUAAUACUGGAUACGAGCUGCGACCGCAUGGUCAGCAGUUGGAAAGAUUUUUCGGUCUGGGAUGGGCUCGCGGCCUAUCAGCUUGUUGGUGAGGUAAUGGCUCACCAAGGCGUCGACGGGUAGCCGGCCUGAGAGGGUGACCGGCCACACUGGGACUGAGACACGGCCCAGACUCCUACGGGAGGCAGCAGUGGGGAAUAUUGCACAAUGGGCGAAAGCCUGAUGCAGCAACGCCGCGUGAGGGACGACGGCCUUCGGGUUGUAAACCUCUUUUAGCAGGGAAGAAGCGAAAGUGACGGUACCUGCAGAAAAAGCGCCGGCUAACUACGUGCCAGCAGCCGCGGUAAUACGUAGGGCGCAAGCGUUAUCCGGAAUUAUUGGGCGUAAAGAGCUCGUAGGCGGUUUGUCGCGUCUGCUGUGAAAUCUGGGGGCUCAACCCCCAGCCUGCAGUGGGUACGGGCAGACUAGAGUGCGGUAGGGGAGAUUGGAAUUCCUGGUGUAGCGGUGGAAUGCGCAGAUAUCAGGAGGAACACCGAUGGCGAAGGCAGAUCUCUGGGCCGUAACUGACGCUGAGGAGCGAAAGGGUGGGGAGCAAACAGGCUUAGAUACCCUGGUAGUCCACCCCGUAAACGUUGGGAACUAGUUGUGGGGUCCAUUCCACGGAUUCCGUGACGCAGCUAAACGCAUUAAGUUCCCCGCCUGGGGAGUACGGCCGCAAGGCUAAAACUCAAAGGAAUUGACGGGGACCCGCACAAGCGGCGGAGCAUGCGGAUUAAUUCGAUGCAACGCGAAGAACCUUACCAAGGCUUGACAUAUACGAGAACGGGCCAGAAAUGGUCAACUCUUUGGACACUCGUAAACAGGUGGUGCAUGGUUGUCGUCAGCUCGUGUCGUGAGAUGUUGGGUUAAGUCCCGCAACGAGCGCAACCCUCGUUCUAUGUUGCCAGCACGUAAUGGUGGGAACUCAUGGGAUACUGCCGGGGUCAACUCGGAGGAAGGUGGGGAUGACGUCAAAUCAUCAUGCCCCUUAUGUCUUGGGCUUCACGCAUGCUACAAUGGCCGGUACAAAGGGCUGCAAUACCGUAAGGUGGAGCGAAUCCCAAAAAGCCGGUCCCAGUUCGGAUUGAGGUCUGCAACUCGACCUCAUGAAGUCGGAGUCGCU